CCCAGACUCCUACGGGAGGCAGCAGUGGGGAAUAUUGCCACAAUGGGGAAACCCUUAAUGCAGCGAUGCCGCCGGGAGAAGAAGGUUUUCGGAUUGUAAACUCCUGUCGACAGGAAAGAAAAAGGACUGUACCUGUCAAGAAAGCUCCGGCUAACUACGUGCCCAGCAGCCGCGGGUAAUACGUAGGGAGCGAGCGUUGUCCGGAAUUACUGGGUGUAAAGGGAGCGUAGGCGGGACUGCAAGUCAGAUGUGAAAUUUACGGGCUUAACCUGUGAACUGCAUUUGAAAACUGUAGUUCUUGAGUGAAGUAGAGGCAAGCGGAAUUCCUGGUGUAGCGGUGAAAUGCGUAGAUAUCAGGAGGAACACCGGUGGCGAAGGCGGCUUGCUGGGCUUUAACUGACGCUGAGGCUCGAAAGCGUGGGUAGCAAACAGGAUUAGAUACCCUGGUAGUCCACGCUGUAAACGAUGAUUACUAGGUGUGGGGGGACUGACCCCUUCCGUGCCGCAGUUAACACAAUAAGUAAUCCACCUGGGGAGUACGGCCGCAAGGUUGAAACUCAAAGGAAUUGACGGGGGCCCGCACAAGCAGUGGAGUAUGUGGUUUAAUUCGAAGCAACGCGAAGAACCUUACCGGGUCUUGACAUCGAGUGCAUAGCUAAGAGAUUAGUGAAAUCCCUUCGGGGACACUUAGACAGGUGGUGCAUGGUUGUCGUCAGCUCGUGUCGUGAGAUGUUGGGUUAAGUCCCGCAACGAGCGCAACCCUUACCUUUAGUUGCUACGCAAGAGCACUCUAAAGGGACUGCCGUUGACAAAACGGAGGAAGGUGGGGAUGACGUCAAAUCAUCAUGCCCCUUAUGACCCGGGCUACACACGUACUACAAUGGCAAUCAACAAAGAGCAGCGAAACUGUGAAGUGGAGCGAAUCUCAAAAAAUUGUCUCAGUUCGGAUUGCAGGCUGCAACUCGCCUGCAUGAAGUCGGAAUUGCUAGUAAUCGCGGAUCAGCAUGCCGCGGUGAAUACGUUCUCGGGCCUUGUACACACCGCCCUUCACACCAUGGGAGUCGGUAACACCCGAAGUCUGUAGCCUGACGCAAGAGGGCGC
rnacentral:rRNA from 1 species